rnacentral:rRNA from 1 species
GCAUAUCAAUAAGCGGAGGAAAAGAAACCAACAGGGAUUGCCCCAGUAACGGCGAGUGAAGCGGCAACAGCUCAAAUUUGAAAUCUGGCCCUCGGGUCCGAAUUGUAAUUUGUAGAGGAUACUUUUGGCGAGGUGCCUUCCGAGUUCCCUGGAACGGGACGCCAUAGAGGGUGAGAGCCCCGUCUGGUCGGAUACCAAGCCUCUGUAAAGUUCCUUCGACGAGUCGAGUAGUUUGGGAAUGCUGCUCAAAAUGGGAGGUAUAUGUCUUCUAAAGCUAAAUAUUGGCCAGAGACCGAUAGCGCACAAGUAGAGUGAUCGAAAGAUGAAAAGCACUUUGAAAAGAGGGUUAAAAAGUACGUGAAAUUGUUGAAAGGGAAGCGCCUAUGACCAGACUUGGGCCCGGUGAAUCAUCCAGCGUUCUCGCUGGUGCACUUUGCCGGGCACAGGCCAGCAUCAGUUUGGCGCGGGGGAUAAAGGCUUUGGGAAUGUGGCUCCUCCGGGAGUGUUAUAGCCCAUUGCGUAAUACCCUGCGCCGGACUGAGGUACGCGCAUUGCAAGGAUGCUGGCGUAAUGGUCAUCAGCGACCCGUCUUGAAACACGGACCA